GAUGAAGAACGCAGCGAAAUGCGAUAAGUAAUGUGAAUUGCAGAAUUCAGUGAAUCAUCGAGUCUUUGAACGCACAUUGCGCCCCCUGGUAUUCCGGGGGGCAUGCCUGUCCGAGCGUCAUUGCUGCCCUCAAGCACGGCUUGUGUGUUGGGCCCCCGUCCCCGGUUUCCCCCGGGGACGGGCCCGAAAGGCAGCGGCGGCACCGCGUCCGGUCCUCGAGCGUAUGGGGCUUUGUCACCCGCUCUGUAGGCCCGGCCGGCGCCAGCCGACACCCAACUUUAUUUCUAAGGUUGACCUCGGAUCAGGUAGGGAUACCCGCUGAACUUAAGCAUAUCAUAAGCGGAGGA
rnacentral:misc_RNA from 1 species